rnacentral:rRNA from 1 species
UACGAAGGUGGCAAGCGUUGUUCGGAUUUACUGGGCGUACAGGGAGCGUAGGCGGUUGGAUAAGCCCUCCGUGAAAUCUCCAGGCUUAACCUGGAAAGUGCAGAGGGGACUGUUCAGCUAGAGGAUGGGAGAGGAGCGCGGAAUUCCCGGUGUAGCGGUGAAAUGCGUAGAGAUCCGGAAGAACACCGGUGGCGAAGGCGGCCUGCUGGGCAGUAGCUGACGCUGAUGCGCGACAGCGUGGGGAGCAAACAGG